UUAUUUAUUUGAUUAUGUACAUAGGUGUCACAAAUAAUAUUUUGGUGGAAAAUUGAUUGAAAAACAAAAUAAAAAAAUAUCUAGAUAUUUAUGCUUCCUUAGUCAUUAAGCUAAGACCAAGCUUAUUUCCUAUAAAUUAAGAGCCUUGUCUCAAUUCCACACACACACACACACACAUACCAGCAGCCAAGGAGAGGGAGAGAGAAGGAGAGUGUGAUUAGAGGGAAGUAGAGAAGAAGAAGAAAAGAAAAAGAAGAAAAUAAAAGGAAGAAAAUGGUGCCUUUUAGGGUCAAGGUGAUGAAGCAGUUUACAAUGGUGAAGGUUAUUUCGAAGGCAAACAAGAUGAAGUGUUGGAGCUGUGGUUCAUUUGAAGACUUAAGACUGGUUGUUUUUUUUUCCUUUUGACUUUUGGUUUGGCAAUGUUUUGGUAAUCCUGUAAUGAAACAUAAACGAAUUAUCUGUGAUAUUAACUCUGGUUAUAUAUGUAUAUUAAGAUGUUCUGGUUAUCUAUCCUACUUGUGUUGUA